rnacentral:rRNA from 1 species
AAGGGUUUGAUCCUGGCUCAGGAUGAACGCUGGCGGCGUGCCUAAUACAUGCAAGUCGAGCGAACGGACGAGAAGCUUGCUUCUCUGAUGUUAGCGGCGGACGGGUGAGUAACACGUGGAUAACCUACCUAUAAGACUGGGAUAACUUCGGGAAACCGGAGCUAAUACCGGAUAAUAUUUUGAACCGCAUGGUUCAAAAGUGAAAGACGGUCUUGCUGUCACUUAUAGAUGGAUCCGCGCUGCAUUAGCUAGUUGGUAAGGUAACGGCUUACCAAGGCAACGAUGCAUAGCCGACCUGAGAGGGUGAUCGGCCACACUGGAACUGAGACACGGUCCAGACUCCUACGGGAGGCAGCAGUAGGGAAUCUUCCGCAAUGGGCGAAAGCCUGACGGAGCAACGCCGCGUGAGUGAUGAAGGUCUUCGGAUCGUAAAACUCUGUUAUUAGGGAAGAACAUAUGUGUAAGUAACUGUGCACAUCUUGACGGUACCUAAUCAGAAAGCCACGGCUAACUACGUGCCAGCAGCCGCGGUAAUACGUAGGUGGCAAGCGUUAUCCGGAAUUAUUGGGCGUAAAGCGCGCGUAGGCGGUUUUUUAAGUCUGAUGUGAAAGCCCACGGCUCAACCGUGGAGGGUCAUUGGAAACUGGAAAACUUGAGUGCAGAAGAGGAAAGUGGAAUUCCAUGUGUAGCGGUGAAAUGCGCAGAGAUAUGGAGGAACACCAGUGGCGAAGGCGACUUUCUGGUCUGUAACUGACGCUGAUGUGCGAAAGCGUGGGGAUCAAACAGGAUUAGAUACCCUGGUAGUCCACGCCGUAAACGAUGAGUGCUAAGUGUUAGGGGGUUUCCGCCCCUUUAGUGCUGCAGCUAACGCAUUAAGCACUCCGCCU